AUGUACAAUAUACAUUGUAGCAAUAAUCUUAUAAUUGAAACUGGCGUGUCUGUAGACAUGUUUAGCAAUGUACUGUUUUUGUUCUUCAAUUAUUUUCUGCAUGUACCAUAUUUUGUAUUUGUAAUGUUCCCUAAUUAUUGUCAUUAUAUGUUUGCUAUGGACUGUCUGAAACCCCUAAUGGAUGUUAAGCUAUGUGACAUUAUGGCUUAUGUACCCCUGGCUGUAAUCUGUGCCUGUGUGCUCUAUAAGUCUCGUGUCUCUGUGUGUCUAUGUGUUAAGCGUCUAAAAUAUCUGGUGACCUGGUUUAGAAAGGGUGACAUGAAGAUGAUGGUUAUGCAAAUGAAAUUCCAACUAGAUACCCUUGAGCACUUAAUAAACCUGAAUAUGACUCAAGGCUUUGUACAAGAUGACAACAGAGUAAACAAUAUUGGGAAAAAAUUAAAUAGACUAGAUAAAGAGGAAGCAGCAGGAAUAAUUUCUUUGUGCCCACUUAGAGAUAUGCCAGUGGUAAAACAAAAUGAAGUCCAUAAAGUGAGAAUACAUAAGAGAUUUUCCCCAGAAGACCUUGAGUCCAUCAGGAAGAGAGCACCACUUUUUAAUGAUGAAGCUAAUAGGGUGAUUAAGGAGAUGCGUAGGGCAAUUGGUUUGUACCAUCCAGACUUCAAUGAUUUUGCCCUACUGAUGAAGGAGGUCUUGACUAAGAGAGAAAGAACCAAAUUUAUUCAGGAGACUAGAACAGAUCCAUUAUUGCAAUCCUGGCCAGAAGAUUUGAAGUUAGAUACAUCUGAAGAGGGAGUUAAUGAGAUGUUAGUAGAGACAAGAGAUGCAAUUUUGGAGGUAAUGGGAAGGUAUACCAAAAGGCCCAAUUCAUGGUUAAAAUUUGAGGCAAUCAAACAGAAGGUCUCUGAAGCUCCUGCAGUUUUCCUGGAAAGGAUAACUGAGGCAGCUGAAACUUUAUUGGGAAUGAAUCCCCUGGAAGAGAACUCAAUUGCACAUAUUAAGAGGGUCUUUGUUAAAAAUGCUGUCCCAACGAUCAGGCAAUUUUUUUAA
rnacentral:lncRNA from 1 species